GCUGGAAGUAACUUAAUAAGUUCACUUUUUUCUUUAAAGCCAACUUUGGUUUGGUUUGGUUUGCCAAUGUGCUUUUUCUUUGGGGUAAGGUAUAAGUAAGUUGUACAAUGAAUUAUUAAGAAACAAAAUAAAAAAGAAAUAGAAUUUCACCCAAAAAAUGUUUAUUACAGAAAAUAUUUAAAAUAAAAAAGUGUUCUUUAAAAAUGACAGCUAGAAAAGUUGUAUUUUUAUCUAUAUGUUAUGUGGGCAGAAUACAAAUGUGUCAAAAUAAAUGUUCUUCGUGGCAUUGUGCAGUUCACAUUUAAUGUGAAUAAGGGGAAAACAUUUUAAGAGCAAUUGAAAUCAGAGCGUAAUAGUAAAUUUUUUAUCUCAAGCAUUAAGAUUAAAC